rnacentral:miRNA from 1 species
GGUUGGUGCAAAAGUAACUGCGGUUUUUGCCAUUAAAAGUAAUGGCAAAAACCGCAAAUACUUCUGC